rnacentral:rRNA from 1 species
UACGAAGGGUGCAAACGUUGCUCGGAAUCAUUGGGCGUAAAGCGCACGUAGGCGGCCUGUUAAGUCGGAUGUGAAAUCCCUCGGCUCAACCGAGGAAGUGCAUCCGAAACUGGCAGGCUCGAGUAUGGAAGAGGGUCGCAGAAUUCCCGGUGUAGAGGUGAAAUUCGUAGAUAUCGGGAGGAAUACCAGUGGCGAAGGCGGCGACCUGGGCCAAUACUGACGCUGAGGUGCGAAAGCGUGGGGAGCAAACAGG